GGUUAAUAUUCCCAAACCAGGACAUGGUGGUGGACGACAAUGUUAGGAAAUCUAGAGAUGUCAUUGGGGGCCUGGUAAGAGUUAUCUUUUCUUUUUAACGACUUUCCCACCCUGAAAUCAGUUCAACCAGAGAUAGGGUCCAACAUCUAAAAGAGCACCACAUGUCUUGUGGUGUUUGGUUCCCCCUUGGUGGCCAUUGUAAAUAUGGUGAACCGAGUGCCAUCCAUGCCCGAUUGAACUCAUAUGUGCCUCCUU
rfam:Picea glauca, whole genome shotgun sequence.